CUAGGUUGCCCAAGUCGUCUUUGCACCUGUUAUCAUUUGCGAGAAGACAAGCAAGAAGAAGCAGCAAGAACUUGAAGAUGCCGGCGUGGGUUGCUGUCAAAUGCACCAAUCGUUCAGUCUCGACGCAGCCCAGGAUUCAACAUUUCAAGUUUCUGUUUCAUGACAGGCCAAGGCUGCAGCAGUUUGUAGCAAAUGUCAGGCGGAUGGAUUGGGAACCCACCCAACACUGUCAAAUCUGUGCCCAUCACUUUGAAGAAGAGUGUUUUCGCCGUGAUGACAUGGGAAGAGUCAGCCUCACUCUGACUGCUGUGCCCACCAUUUUUCUCUUUCCCAGCUCAUCUACAAAAGUGGUCAGAGGGCCCCAGGGAAAAAAAACAAAGGACUAAAGUAAGUACAGAGACUGAUGAUAUCCGUGCCCUGUUGAUGGACACUAUACUUCCAGAUGCAGAGAAGAUCACCAGCUCAGCUCAUCAAACUGUCCAAUCUCUGGAGGGGACAACAUAUAUUGCUCAAUCUGUGCUUGAUUUGGCCCAUGUGCCACCCAGCCAAACGGACUAACGUUUCAAUGCCUAAAUCCUUUAGCUAUUGUAUUUUUUUUAAAUGUUGUGUGUAUUUCAUACAAGCUCGCAGGUUGUUAUGAUAUUAUUGCUUUGUAACUGUCAGACAAAUCUGUAAUCAUAUCCUGUAAUCGUGUCCCUCAGGGCUACAAUGUUAAACAUCAAACUCCAUUCUCUUAAAUGCCGAGGUGAACUGAUGGACAGUGGACCAGCACCAGUCAGUAUGUAACCUGACACCACUGGAGGUGUUGAUGGUAUUUGUGUAGAACAAGAAAGAAAACAAGUAAGCGGCAAGUACAAUGUAGAAAACUGUAGUGAACUAUUUACAGAACUAUUAUCAACAACCAUCAGUCCUGUGUUCCAAUGGCACGUUGUGUUUGCUAAUCCAAGUUUAUCAUUUUAA